GAUGAACGCUGGCGGCGUGCUUAACACAUGCAAGUCGAACGGUGAAAGCGGAGCUUGCUCUGCUGGAUCAGUGGCGAACGGGUGAGUAACACGUGAGCAAUCUGCCCCUGACUCUGGGAUAAGCGCUGGAAACGGCGUCUAAUACCGGAUACGAGCUGCGAAGGCAUCUUCAGCAGCUGGAAAGAACUUCGGUCAGGGAUGAGCUCGCGGCCUAUCAGCUAGUUGGUGAGGUAACGGCUCACCAAGGCGUCGUCGGGUAGCCGGCCUGAGAGGGUGACCGGCCACACUGGGACUGAGACACGGCCCAGACUCCUACGGGAGGCAGCAGUGGGGAAUAUUGCACAAUGGGCGCAAGCCUGAUGCAGCAACGCCGCGUGAGGGAUGACGGCCUUCGGGUUGUAAACCUCCUUUAGCAGGGAAGAAGCGAAAGUGACGGUACCUGCAGAAAAAGCACCGGCUAACUACGUGCCAGCCGCCGCCGUAA
rnacentral:rRNA from 1 species